rnacentral:lncRNA from 1 species
AUAUUAUCUGCAAUUUUUUUUUAGUUUUAAAUAUGGUACAGUAUUUUAUAGUAGUGUAUGACAAGCUCAGAAAAUAAGAAAGGAAAUAAAUGUUCAGACUAAUGUUCAGACAAAACAACAUUAAACUACUACAUUACAUUAGACUAACUAAACUACACAACAUUAGACUAACUAAGUUGGAAUUAUUGAAAGUUAAUAAAGAAUGGCACUCAAGAAACAAACAGAAAGAACCAAAGCUAACAAAGACCAACACUCAUAAAAUGGAAAAACAGAAAGAACCAAAGCUAACAAAGACCAACACUC